rnacentral:rRNA from 1 species
AGCAUAUCAAUAAGCGGAGGAAAAGAAACCAACAGGGAUUGCCCCCAGUAACGGCGAGUGAAGCGGCAACAGCUCAAAUUUGAAAUCUGGCCCCCAGGGCCCGAGUUGUAAUUUGCAGAGGAUGCUUUUGGCGCGGUGCCUUCCGAGUUCCCUGGAACGGGACGCCAUAGAGGGUGAGAGCCCCGUCUGGUCGGACGCCUAGCCUGUGUAAAGCUCCUUCGACGAGUCGAGUAGUUUGGGAAUGCUGCUCUAAAUGGGAGGUAUAUGUCUUCUAAAGCUAAAUACCGGCCAGAGACCGAUAGCGCACAAGUAGAGUGAUCGAAAGAUGAAAAGCACUUUGAAAAGAGGGUUAAAUAGUACGUGAAAUUGUUGAAAGGGAAGCGCUUGUGACCAGACUUGGGCCCGGUGGAUCAUCCAGCGUUCUCGCUGGUGCACUCCGCCGGGUUCAGGCCAGCAUCAGUUCGCCGCGGGGGAAAAAGGCUUCGGGAACGUGGCUCCUACGGGAGUGUUAUAGCCCGUUGCAUAAUACCCUGGGGCGGACUGAGGUUCGCGCUCCGCAAGGAUGCUGGCGUAAUGGUCAUCAGCGACCCGUCUUGAAACACGGACCAAGGAGUCGUCUUCGUAUGCGAGUGUUCGGGUGUAAAACCCCUACGCGUAAUGAAAGUGAACGCAGGUGAGAGCUUCGGCGCAUCAUCGACCGAUCCUGAUGUUCUCGGAUGGAUUUGAGUAAGAGCAUACGGGGCCGGACCCGAAAGAAGGUGAACUAUGCCUGUAUAGGGUGAAGCCAGAGGAAACUCUGGUGGAGGCUCGCAGCGGUUCUGACGUGCAAAUCGAUCGUCAAAUAUGGGCAUGGGGGCGAAAGACUAAUCGA